rnacentral:rRNA from 1 species
CCCUUAGAUGUCCUGGACCGCACGCGCGCUACACUGACAUGUUCAACAAGCCUCCUAGUUCGACAGGAUUUGGGAAAUCUUUGAACGCAUGUCGUGAUAGGGAUAGAUCAUUGCAAUUAUUGAUCUUGAACGAGGAAUUCCUAGUAAACGCGAGUCAUCAGCUCGCAUUGAUUACGUCCCCGCCCUUUGUACACACCGCCCGUCGCACCUACCGAUUGAAUGUUUCGGUGAAGAUUCCGGAUAGGACUUUUUUGAUUUAUUUCAAUUUUGUCUUAAAAGCUAUCUAAACCUCAACAUUUAGAGGAAGGUGAAGUCGUAACA